AACGAACGCUGGCGGCAUGCCUAACACAUGCAAGUCGAACGAGACCUUCGGGUCUAGUGGCGCACGGGUGCGUAACGCGUGGGAAUCUGCCCUUGGGUUCGGAAUAACAGUUAGAAAUGACUGCUAAUACCGGAUGAUGACUUCGGUCCAAAGAUUUAUCGCCCAGGGAUGAGCCCGCGUAGGAUUAGCUUGUUGGCGAGGUAAAAGCUCACCAAGGCGACGAUCCUUAGCUGGUCUGAGAGGAUGAUCAGCCACACUGGGACUGAGACACGGCCCAGACUCCUACGGGAGGCAGCAGUGGGGAAUAUUGGACAAUGGGCGAAAGCCUGAUCCAGCAAUGCCGCGUGAGUGAUGAAGGCCUUAGGGUUGUAAAGCUCUUUUACCCGGGAUGAUAAUGACAGUACCGGGAGAAUAAGCCCCGGCUAACUCCGUGCCAGCCGCCGCUGUAAAAC
rnacentral:rRNA from 1 species